rnacentral:rRNA from 2 species
AAGUGGGGGGGGCCUAAUACAUGCAAAGUCGAGCGGAGUUUGAAAAAGCUUGCUUUUCAAAACUUAGCGGCGGACGGGUGAGUAACACGUGGGCAACCUGCCCUUGAGACGGGGAUAACUCCGGGAAACCGGAGCUAAUACCGGAUAACACAUAUCUUCGCAUGAGGAUAUGUUAGAAGGUGGCUUUUAGCUACCACUCAAGGAUGGGCCCGCGGCGCAUUAGCUAGUUGGUGAGGUAACGGCUCACCAAGGCGACGAUGCGUAGCCGACCUGAGAGGGUGAUCGGCCACACUGGGACUGAGACACGGCCCAGACUCCUACGGGAGGCAGCAGUAGGGAAUCUUCCGCAAUGGACGAAAGUCUGACGGAGCAACGCCGCGUGAGUGAUGAAGGUUUUCGGAUCGUAAAGCUCUGUUGUUAGGGAAAAACAAGUACCUGUUAAAUA